rnacentral:rRNA from 1 species
UACGUAGGGUGCGAGCGUUGUCCGGAUUUAUUGGGCGUAAAGGGCUCGUAGGCGGCCUGUUGCGUCUGCCGUGAAAUUCUGUGGCUUAACCUCGGACGUGCGGUGGAUACGGGCAGGCUAGAGUCCGGUUGGGGAGACUGGAAUUCCUGGUGUAGCGGUGGAAUGCGCAGAUAUCAGGAGGAACACCGGUGGCGAAGGCGGGUCUCUGGGCCGGUACUGACGCUGAGGAGAGAAAGCGUGGGGAGCGAACAGGAUUAGAUACCCCUGUAGUCC